CGGACGGGUGAGUAACGCGUGGGUAACCUGCCUCAUACAGGGGGAUAACAGUUAGAAAUGACUGCUAAUACCGCAUAAGACCACAGUGCCGCAUGGCACAGGGGCCAAAGCCUUGACGGUAUGAGAUGGACCCGCGUCUGAUUAGGUAGUUGGUGGGGUAACGGCCUACCAAGCCGACGAUCAGUAGCCGACCUGAGAGGGUGACCGGCCACAUUGGGACUGAGACACGGCCCAAACUCCUACGGAAGGCAGCAG
rnacentral:rRNA from 1 species